CACCGCGGUUAUACGAGAGGCCCAAGCUGAUAGACCCCGGCGUAAAGAGUGGUUAAGAUAAACUUGAAACUAAAGCCGAACACCCUCACAGCUGUUAUACGCACCCGAGGGCAAGAAGCCCAACUACGAAAGUGGCUUUACAACCCCUGAACCCACGAAAGCUAUGACA
rnacentral:rRNA from 1 species